GGUCUCGUAACUCAAUUGGAUAGAGUAUCGGUUUUCUAAACCGGAGGUUACAGGUUCAAAUCCUGUCGAGGUCA
rnacentral:tRNA from 1 species